rnacentral:lncRNA from 1 species
CUCGGAGUUGUGCCGGGAACGCGCACCACCGGCCUUCACCCCUUAGGGCGCGGCAGGGGACGCAGGGGAAAUCGAAGCUGCCAGAUGCCCACGACCACAACGUCACCCUCCAGAUUGCCCUCUCGGAGGGGCCCAGUCCGCGCAGGUGGCUGCUCCCUACUGCCUGAGCUGUGGCUGAGCAGCAGAUUGGGGAGAAACAGGCUCUCGCACCUUGUCCUUUAUUCGACGAUUUCUUCAAUGGACAGAAUUAUUAGAUCCUACAAAUGUGUUCAUUUCAGUUGAAAGUAUAGAAAACUCGAGGCAACUAUUGUGCACAAAUGAAGAUGUUUCCAGCCCUGCCUCGGCGGACCAAAGGCGUUCCUGCCUUUCAUGGCACCCACGGUAUUUUUGUCAAUGACGCCACUGAAAGGGAUCAAGUCCGUGAUUUUACCUCAGGUUUUCCUCUGUGCCUACAUGGCAGCGUUCAACAGCAUCAAUGGAAACAGAAGUUACACUUGUAAGCCACUAGAAAGAUCAUUACUAAUGGCGGGAGCCGUUGCUUCUUCAACUUUCUUAGG